rnacentral:rRNA from 1 species
CGCUGGCGGAGGCUUACACUGCAGUUUAAGCGGGGAAGGGUAGCUUGCCCCCUAACCUACGGCGGACGGGUGAGUCAUGCUUAGGAAUCUGCCUAUUAGUGGGGGACAACGUUUCGAAAGGAACGCUAAUACCGCAUACGUCCUACGGGAGAAAGCAGGGGAUCAUAUUGACCUUGUGCUAAUAGAUGAGCCUAAGUCGGAUUAGCUAGUUGGUGGGGUAAAGGCCUACCAAGGCGACGAUCUGUAGCGGGUCUGAGAGGAUGAUCCGCCACACUGGGACUGAGACACGGCCCAGACUCCUACGGGAGGCAGCAGUGGGGAAUAUUGGACAAUGGGCGCAAGCCUGAUCCAGCCAUGCCGCGUGUGUGAAGAAGGCCUUAUGGUUGUAAAGCACUUUAAGCGAGGAGGAGGAGCUUCAGGUUAAUACCCUGGAUGCUUGGACGUUACUCGCAGAAUAAGCACCGGCUAACUCUGUGCCAGCAGCCGCGGUAAUACAGAGGGUGCAAGCGUUAAUCGGAUUUACUGGGCGUAAAGCGUGCGUAGGCGGCUAAUUAAGUCAAAUGUGAAAUCCCCGAGCUUAACUUGGGAAUUGCAUUCGAUACUGGUUAGCUACGCAGUAUGGGACGACGAUGGUAGAAAUUCCAGGUUGUAGACGGUGAAAAUGCCGUUAGAAGAUCUGGACAGGCAAAUACCGAUUGCCGCAAAGGGCGGACCAUCUUGGGCCUAAUAACUGGACGCUGAGGUACCGAAAAGCUUGCGGGACGCAACCCGGGAUUUAGAUACCCGUUAUAUCACCUGCGCGAAACAAUUUUAUAGCCCGUGGGGUCUCUGGACGACCUUGUGGGCCCAU